rnacentral:rRNA from 1 species
UACACUCCUACGGAGGCAGCAGUGGGGAAUAUUGCACAAUGGGCGCAAGCCUGAUGCAGCCAUGCCGCGUGUAUGAAGAAGGCCUUCGGGUUGUAAAGUACUUUCAGCGGGGAGGAAGGCGAUAAGGUUAAUAACCUUGUCGAUUGACGUUACCCGCAGAAGAAGCACCGGCUAACUCCGUGCCAGCAGCCGCGGUAAUACGGAGGGUGCAAGCGUUAAUCGGAAUUACUGGGCGUAAAGCGCACGCAGGCGGUCUGUCAAGUCGGAUGUGAAAUCCCCGGGCUCAACCUGGGAACUGCAUUCGAAACUGGCAGGCUAGAGUCUUGUAGAGGGGGGUAGAAUUCCAGGUGUAGCGGUGAAAUGCGUAGAGAUCUGGAGGAAUACCGGUGGCGAAGGCGGCCCCCUGGACAAAGACUGACGCUCAGGUGCGAAAGCGUGGGGAGCAAACAGGAUUAGAAACCCGAGUAGUCCCAUG